UUGGGUGAUUCAAAAGGCUAUCUUGGGUGAAAUAUCGCAAGAAUUUUAUUGUGCUUGUCAAAAGUGAGCUUCUUGAUCAUCUAACACCUGAUUUGGAUCGAAUCAACUGCUGCGUUUUUUCUUCUUCACUUGUUUCGGGAUUUAGUUACUUUCUUGCAAGUUUGGGAGCUCAGAUUGAGGUGAUUUUCGCGGUGUUGUUCUCGCCUCAACGAGGGGACUUCGAAUGUCCGUAAGCUCUUCAAAAAGGAAAGGCUCUCGUGGGAUAGAUCGCGGCACCUGCUUGACAUUGAGGCAUUGAUUUACAGGAUAUCGGAUCUACUCACUAGGAUUUCUCGUAUCAGCUAUUUGUGAGCCCCACUUCAUACAGGGUGUUAUUAUUAUUUUAUGUCAAUGUCAUGUCAUGUCAUGUCAUGCAGUAGAAGUAUGUCGGGGCCCUUGUCCUGGAAAAUAGUUUAGCGUUCAGAUUCAUGUUCAGAAGUUUCAUAGACUAGUCUAGCAUGUCAUGUCAGAUACUCAGUUAUGUUUAGCCUUGUCGGCUACAUUAUCAUGAUUUCCGUACUUAUGUUCAAAACGUUAUUUUCAGACUUAUGAUUACA